ensembl:lncRNA
UGUAGUGUGCGAGGGGGAGAAAGAGGAGACGGCGUCGUGCGCACACGCUGCCUACACACAAGAAAACACGGAAAUAUAUUUAAAUAGUAUGUAUACCGUUACCGUAACUUAGAACAGAGCCACCCAAGUACUGAUUGAUUGACAAAGUGCGCUCGGAGUUACUGGGCUGCUGUUGUUUGGAAGCUCUGUGAAUCAAGUUAAUCGGGUCGGAACUCUGGAUUAUCCGACAAACACAACUUUAUUUAGUUAGCUAAACUGUUAGCUAACUAAAUCUAAAGUUUUUCUGCCGUCCGCUAUGUCUGGAAGCGAGGAUGACAGAGAUGACUACGCAGCCCCCGAGGACCGGUUAAUACACGCACGACACGGAUGC